rnacentral:hammerhead_ribozyme from 1 species
AUCCAGCUGACGAGUUCCGAAUAGGACGAAAUGGAUGUUCUAGAU